rnacentral:rRNA from 1 species
AGCUCCAAUAGCGUAUAUUAAAGUUAUUGUAGUUAAAAAGCGCGUAGUUUGAUUUCUGGUGGGAAGUAUCGGUCUAGAGCACUCAGUGUUGGAACUUGUAUCCUCUCCGACCAUCCUUGGAUAGAUCUUGUCUAACAUUGAGUUGUCAGUCAGGGGAUGCGUAUUGUCUACUGUAAAAAAUUAGAGUGUUCAAAGCAGGCUUAUACCAUUGAAUAUAUUCGCAUGGAAUAAUAAGAUAUGGCCCUUGUACUAUUUUUUUGGUUUGCGUACCGAGGUAAUGAUUAAUAGGGGCAGUUGAGGGUAUUCAGUAUUCAGUGGUGAAAUACUUCAACCUACGGAAGACAAAUUACUACAAAAGCAUUUACCAAGGAUACUUUCA